rnacentral:rRNA from 1 species
ACUGAUUAGACGGAAGUUGGAGUGCUUGCACAAAGACGGAAAUCUAUGACGUGGAUCUCCACCUAGUGGCGCAAGGGUGAGUAACACGUGGGUAAUCUGCCUUCGAGUCUGGAAUAACAGUUAGAAAUGAUUGCUAAUGCCGGAUGAUAUGGAGAACGAUACGUCAUUCUUUAUUAAAAGGGGCCUUUAAAGCCUCGCUUGAAGAUGAGCCUGCGCCGUAUUAGCUAGUUGGUGGGGUAAUGGCCUACCAAGGCAACGAUGCGUAGCCGACCUGAGAGGGUGAUCGGCCACACUGGGACUGAGACACGGCCCAGACUCCUACGGGAGACAGCAGUUAGGAAUAUUCGUCAAUGGGGGAAACCCUGAACGAGCAAUGCCGCGUGAAGGAUGACGGUCCUAUGGAUUGUAAACUUCUGUCGUUAGGGAAGAACGUUCUGUAUAGGAAAUGAUACAGGAGUGACGGUACCUUUCAAGAAAGCUCCGGCUAACUACGUGCCAGCAGCCGC